CUCAGAGGGCCUUGGUGGUCAGUCUGACCUGCAGCAGCAAACAGACCUGGACUCCAUAUUUAUGCUGUUGGAGGAAAGCAUCGUCACUUUUGUAAAGAACGAGCUGAAGAAGUUUCAGAAGGUUCUGAGUCCAGAUUACCCAGAAUACUUAGAGAGUCAGAGGGA